GUGAGGAAUAUUGGUCAAUGGGCGAGAGCCUGAACCAGCCAAGUCGCGUGAAGGAAGAAGGAUCUAUGGUUCGUAAACUUCUUUUGCAGGGGAAUAAAGUGCAGGACGUGUCCUGUUUUGUAUGUACCCUGAGAAUAAGGAUCGGCUAACUCCGUGCCAGCAGCCGCGGUAAUACGGAGGAUCCGAGCGUUAUCCGGAUUUAUUGGGUUUAAAGGGUGCGUAGGUGGUUUGAUAAGUCAGCGGUGAAAGUUUGCAGCUUAACUGUAAAAAUGCCGUUGAAACUGUCGGACUUUAGUGUAAAUGAGGUAGGCGGAAUGCGUGGUGUAGCGGUGAAAUGCAUAGAUAUCACGCAGAACUCCGAUUGCGAAGGCAGCUUACUAAGCUACAACUGACACUGAAGCACGAAAGCGUGGGGAUCAAACGGGAUUAGAAACCCGAGUAGUCC
rnacentral:rRNA from 1 species